GUGGGUAUCUUAUACAAGCGAGCCAAGUUGGUGAAUUCCACAUCCAUUGUUGAUGCAGCGUGCGCAAAGAUCACAGGAGAAUGUGGGCUCAGAGCACAAGCCGGCGGGAAUUAACGAAAAUUGUGGGAGAGACUUUGACUUUCACAGACUCGGAAACUGGCAGGAAACUGAGCCGUUUGUUCAUUGGUGUUGAAGAGGCAAGAAGGCUCCAGAUGGUGUUUGGGUCACAAUACAUUUACGUGACUUCAGAGGAGAAGGGGAACUCCUGACGUGUGAGGCAGAGUGACGGGCGCUUGACGCAGCUUCUCUGUUACCCUCACACCAGCCCUUCGAGGCAGGCGGCCUCAUACCCUGUUGUGCACGAGGGGACUGCAGCUCUGAAUGGCCCAGUAAUUUGCCGAAGGCCUGCCUUGAGUACCAAGAAACAGCCAGGACUCUGCAGACAGGUCCAGCACUCACUGCGUUUCUUCAUCUCUAAAACAGACUGUAACUGUGGCUCCCUCGUAGGUUGUUGUAAGGAUCAAAUCAGUGAAAAUGGGAAGAGUUCUAGGAAGAAGGCGUGAUGCUAGGUUUAGGAGCAUGGAGUCCAAUCCUCCCGGCUCUAAGCAGGACCCAGCCAGCCUGCUCUACCCAGAGCCUUCCUUAGCUACUCCCAGCCACGCAAUGUCAAUCACAACCUCCUGCCUCUCCGGCAGGCCAGGGCAGUGGAAGUUCUGACCAGUUCCUCAGCCCAGAAGACCUCCCAGGAACCUGGCCUGCCUCUGUCCUGAGCUUUCACACAGGGUUCCUCAAGCUCGGCCCUGCUGACAUCUGGGAUUGGGUAAUUCUUAGGUGGGGGCACUGUCCUAUGCAUUAAAGGAUGUUUAGCAUCA
rnacentral:lncRNA from 1 species